rnacentral:tRNA from 1 species
GGCGCUAUGGUGUAGUGGUAGCACUUAGGAUUUUGAUUCCUACAACCCAGGUUCGAACCCUGGUAGCGCAC